rnacentral:piRNA from 1 species
UUGCCUAAGAUGACUAUUCCUUGUGAGCC